rnacentral:pre_miRNA from 1 species
UGAUGACGAUGAUGACGAUGAUGAUAAUGAUGAUGAUGAUGAUGAUGAUGAUGUUGCUUAUCAUCAUCAUCAUCAUCAUCAUUUUCGUGGUACUGC